UGCAGUCGAGGGGUAACAUUGUAGCUUGCUACAGAUGACGACCGGCGCACGGGUGAGUAACGCGUAUGCAACCUGCCUUUGACAGGGGGAUAGCCCGGAGAAAUCCGGAUUAAUAUCCCAUGGUAUUUACGAAUCGCAUGGUUUGUAAAUUAAAGAUUUUAUCGGUCAAAGAUGGGCAUGCGUGACAUUAGCUAGUUGGUAAGGUAACGGCUUACCAAGGCUGCGAUGUCUAGGGGUUCUGAGAGGAUGAUCCCCCACACUGGUACUGAGACACGGACCAGACUCCUACGGGAGGCAGCAGUGAGGAAUAUUGGUCAAUGGGCGCAAGCCUGAACCAGCCAUCCCGCGUGAAGGAAGACUGCCCUAUGGGUUGUAAACUUCUUUUCUGCACCAAGAAUGGUUACUACGUGUAGUGAUUUGACGGUAGUGCAGGAAUAAGCAUCGGCUAACUCCGUGCCAGCAGCCGCGGUAAUACGGAGGAUGCAAGCGUUAUCCGGAUUCAUUGGGUUUAAAGGGUACGUAGGUGGCCAAUUAAGUCAGUGGUGAAAUCCUGCCGCUUAACGGUAGAACUGCCAUUGAAACUGGUUGGCUUGAGUACAGUUGAGGUAGGCGGAAUGUGUAGUGUAGCGGUGAAAUGCUUAGAUAUUACACAGAACCCCGAUUGCGAAGGCAGCUUACUAAACUGUAACUGACACUGAGGUACGAAAGCGUGGGGAGCGAACAGGAUUAGAUACCCUGGUAGUCCACGCUGUAAACGAUGCUCACUCGCUGUAUGCGAUACAUUGUAUGC
rnacentral:rRNA from 1 species